rnacentral:tRNA from 1 species
GCGGAAUUAGUACAGUGGCAGUACACUUGCUUCCCAAGCAAGGGACACGGGUUCGAUUCCCGUAUCCCGCA